rnacentral:rRNA from 1 species
UACGAAGGGGGCUAGCGUUGCUCGGAAUCACUGGGCGUAAAGCGCACGUAGGCGGAUUGCUAAGUCAGGGGUGAAAUCCUGGAGCUCAACUCCAGAACUGCCUUUGAUACUGGUGAUCUUGAGUCCGGGAGAGGUGAGUGGAACUGCGAGUGUAGAGGUGAAAUUCGUAGAUAUUCGCAAGAACACCAGUGGCGAAGGCGGCCAACUGGUCCAUUACUGACGCUGAGGUGCGAAAGCGUGGGGAGCAAACGGG